rnacentral:lncRNA from 10 species
UAUCUUCUACCAGAAAAUGUCAAUGUCUCAGGAUAACAUUAUACUGUAUAUUGCUCUCAGACCUGACUUUGGACAAACCCUUAUUUGGAUGGUUCGGAGCUAGGUACUAUUUAAUCAAUUCCAUGCAAAAUCACUUAAUGUGCCAACAGCUUGGGGUCAAGCCUAAAAAUUACUUUGGAAUGCAACAGGACUAUUUAGAGCUGUGGUUCAUGGAAAACUCCUGAAACUACAUGCAAAAUUUUGGGACAAAAGGUCCAAAAUAUUUAAUAACAGACUGACUUGAAAACUACUUUCUCAAAACUCUGGAGGUUCUUAAGAUAUAUUACAUUUUCAUUUUAAGCUUCUCAGGCUUUACCACUCACCCAAUCUAGAACAGCUAUAAUAUCUUAAUUUCUAUUCAGAAAGCUAAAAGAACCCUUCCUUUUUGCACCUAUCUCAUCUGUGGUUAAGAUGGAUAUUUCCAGUGCUGUGUAAGACAUUUGUUACAAAAUAAACCAAGCUGAAUCUUAAUCUACUCAUAUCUUGAUUCAGUGAAUGCUCAUUCUGUCCCCAACUUCACUUCUAUAUGAUUAACAUUCUCAGCUGUAGAUAGGAAUUUCUACAUUGUACUCCUGACUUCAAUUUCUUUUUUUAUCUUUUAGAAUUGCAUAAAAUUGCAGACUACAAAUGUAGUAGCAGACUUCUUAUCCCUGCCCUGAAAAUAUGUCUACAUACGGGCAUUAAGGAAUAUCCCUAGUUCUGUCACCUAUCCAGUGGGGGUUCAAGAGAACUUGGUCAAGAUAUCAAACUUCUAAAAAAUAUCUUGAGUUCUUGGUAACUUAGAGAUACUGGUGAAGGAGGAGGGUUAGAAUUUCAGCCUGCGAAUAAAAAAGAUGCCAAAUUUGUAGCAUAAGGCUUCAGCUUUUCCUAGUGGAAAUGCUGUUUAAAAAGUCCUCUGAUGGUUAUUACAAAGUCAAGCAAAUAAACAGGGGGUCUAUGUAUAUAUACAGUUCUAUCUUCUACCAAAACACACACACACACACACACACAUAUAUAUAUAUACCUUCUUCAAGACAUAGGAGUGUCCCUCUCCUCACCUUUUCAAAGGCAAAUGACAGAAUUAAAAGGGAAAAUGGGAUAAAUGGACAUAGAGAAAAUUGAUUAAACCCCUGUAUAGGUUUUCAUGUUGUUACAAAAAAGAUCCUUUUUUCUGAGCUGAAGAAGCUGAAUUUGGUUAGGAAAUGUCAUUUCUCUCUUCUAGCAGCCCUGGGGCUGAUUAUAUACAAAACCUCUUAGAAUAAGGGUUAAGAUGUUCAGUGGUGGGUGCCCAAGAGGAAGUACAGAACAAUAAGAAAAUGUUUAGGUCUCUCAUUGGAGACACAUGAAUUUAUAACUAGAAAGAAUUUUAGGUGCCAACUAAUGGCUAAUAAAUCAAUCUGUCCCCUUUUUACCUAAAGAUUAACCAAGAAAAGUUACAGAAGUGGCAGCUCCAAGAAUAACCUAUAAAACUAAUUAAUAACAGUUGGCUUAGAGGGUUUCAACCACUCCAUAUCAUUAAACUUCUUGUAACCUUGCCCUACACGAGAUAUAAAGUCAUUCUGCAGGCCACGCUCAGUGGCUCAUCCCAGCACUUUGGGAGGCCAAGGUGGAAGGAUCACUUGAGCCUGAGUUCAAGACCAGCUUGGGCAACAUAGUGUGUACAAAAAAUAAAAAUUAGCUGGGUGUGGUGGCACACGCCUGUGGUCCCAGCUACUCAGGAGUCUGAAGUGGGAGGAGUACCUGAGCCCAGGAGUCGAGGCUACAGUGAGCCAUGAUCGUGCCACUGCAAUCCAGCCUGGGCAACAGGGGAAGACCCUGUCUCAAAAAAUAUAAAAAAUGAAAUUAAAAUGAAGCCAUCUUGCAAAGAAUUUAUUUCCCAAAGGAAGUUAUAUUCCUCGUUUAACUAUCAAUCCCUUUUCCAUAUACUAUAUAUAAUACCUUUUUAGUAGAGAUAUGGGGGAAUUAUAACAUUUAUGCACUCUCAAUAUAAAUGUAAUACUCUUUAACUCUCUUUACAUAGAUGUUGUAACAUGUCAGUCAAUCCUUACUAAUGUGGCCUUCAGUUUGUCUACCCAGUUUGGCUAGCUGCAUAAACUGUCAUCUCUACCACUUCCUUUUCCUCUGGCUGCAGCUGUUUUCCCUUAAUCAUAUGCAUCUGUAAGUAAAGGUUUGAAGAAAUAGCACUACUCUUAGAUGUGUAACAAACACUUGUUACUUGUGCUUAAUAAAACUUUUCCAGCCUCAAAAAGUUUACAUUUCACCACCUUCUUCAAAUAUGGAAAUUUUGUCUUUUCAUACAUUUUUUUUCAGUAGUGCUUAAGAAGAAAUGGAAUAAAGAUUUCAAAGAAUAGACUAGAUGCCUAAUAUAAGAAAAUAAGAACAAUAUAUUUAACAGAUUGGGAAUUAAUGUUCUGUAGGGUCUUUUCAUCCAAUAAAAAAUUAAGGGCUAUUUAAUGUGGAGUAGAUUUUAAGCUUUCAGAAAUCAGAAGACAGCAGAGAUCAAGAAUUAGGAAAGCCUUUGUGAGAGAAUUAGAACUUCAUUUAGAUAUGACUUCCCAAAACGGAGGGAAAAUCCUCCAGGCUAGGAGGAUAAUGUGUAAAGUGAGAAAGAAGAAAAGCAUAGGGUGCAUGGUGGAAAGGAAGUAAAAACAUGGGAGGCUGGGCAUGGUGGCUCACGCCUGUAAUCCAAGCACUUUGGGAGGCCGAGGUGGGCAGAUCACCUGAGGUUGGGAGUUCGAGACCAGCCUGACCAACAUGGCGAAACUCCAUCUCUACUAAAAAAAAAAAAAAAAAAAAUUAGCUGGGCAUGGCGGUGCAUGCCUGUAAUCCCAACUACUCAGGAGGCUGAGGCAGGAGAAUCGCUUGAACCCAGGAAGCGAAGGCUGCGGUGAGCCAAGAUCGUGCCUUUGCACUCCAGCCUGGGCAACAAAAGUGAAACUCUAUUUCAAACAAACAAACAAACAAACAACACACAUGGGAAAGGGCGGGUUUAGACAUGUGAGAAAUUUAAAAACAAAUCUCUGGCUGGGAGUGGUGGCUCCCACCUGCAAUCCCAGCACUUUGGGAGGCCGAGGUAGGUGGAUCACUUGAGCUCAGGCAUUUGAGACCAGCCUGGGCAACAUUGCAAAACUCUGUCUCUACCAAAAAAAUUAGGCGUGGUGGUGCACACCUGUAGUCCCAGCACUUUGCGAGUCUGAGGUGGAUGGAUCACCUGAGGUCAGGAGUUUCAGAGCAAGCCUGGCCAACAUGGUGAAACCACAUCUCUACUAAAAAUACAAAAAUAAGCCAGGUGUGGUGGUGCAUGCCUGUAAUCCCAGCUACUCAAGAGGCUGAGACAUGAGAAUAGCUUGAACCCGGUAGGCAGAGGCUACAGUGAGCCGAGAUUGUGCCACUGCACUCCAACCUGGGCGACAGAGCAAGACUCUCAGGGAAAAAAAAAAAAAAGAGAGCUGAGUAGCAACAAUACAAGCAAAUACUGUUUUUGUUUUUUCUUUCAAAGAAAUGUCCUAGGGUAGGUGUGAAAAGUAUUUUAGCCAAAGCUGACAGAACAAUGUUUCCAAAGCUGUAUGCCAAGUAAUGCAACUGGGGAAGAGUGGGAUGGAGGAAAGCAGAAGAGGUUUGUAAAAACAUUGAGGCAAAUCCUUUAUUUGAGAUGAAUCUCAUAGGCUGAGCCUGUAGUUUUUAUUUGGUAGUCUAUAUGUCUAGGGUAUCUUUGGUGUAAAUACUUCUUUGUGAUAAGGAAGAAAGCAGGCAUUUAAGAUGGGUGGUUUGCUCACCCUUACAAAUGUUGCACAUCAGGUUACUAAAUGGUCUUGAAUACCCUUUUAGGCAGGGAUCCCACGGACCCUGUUAUUAGAUGAAUUAAAUAUAUCUUUGACAACAUUACUUGGACCUGUAGGAAAUAUAGGAAUUGUGGAAGGAGCACUAGCCCAAGAGUUGGAAAAUGAAGGUUCUGGCUAUAAUUCUAUUUAAAUGAGCUCUAUGCCCCCUACUGCCUCAAUUUUAAUGUGAAAAUAAUGCACUAUGAGACAUAGAGCUUCUCUGGCAAAAUUAUACUAAAUCCUCCCUCUUCUCUGUAAACUGCCUAUUUCGGGGACAUCAUAUCCUAUGUUAACAUUAUCUUUAUGCAGCUAAAUAUGGCUCUCUUCCUGCCUUGUCCUUACAGGAAAAAAAAAACACUUUAAUUCUACAUUCCAUUAAAAAUACUGAGAAUAUUUUAAAAGCCUCUAAAUGACAUUUCUAAAAGAAAAGUAAAUUCUUUAGGAGCCUUACUAAAAACAAGCCAGAACAGUAUCAGAUAGGCAGGAAAUUUUCAUUGACUUUAAUAUCUUAAAAGUCUAAACCCCAAAAAAGACAGUUCAAUUGAAAAGUCAAUUUAUGUCAUCUUUAAUUGUAAAUAAGAACAAAUGCAAUUCUCUGAAUUUAUUAAGAUUGCCUUUUCUAUCCUUUUUGUACUAGUUUCUCACUAUGAGGAAAUGAAAGGACUAACUAGGGUUAUAUAGAAUAAGAAAACAGAAAGAACAACUCAAAAUGUGCGAGUAAACACAAAGAAAAAUAUUUGAGUAAAUGUGAAUUUCUUCCAUUCAUAUGUUCUCCUAAUCUACAGUUUCUUUUCUAGACGGCCUACAAGGUGAUUUCCCGCUUAAAAACUCCUUGAUGGCUUCUCUCUCUACUUGUAAAAAAAUCAAGGUUCGGGGACGGUGGCUCGUGCCUGUAAUCCCAGCACUUUGGGAGGCUGAGGCGGACAGGAGUUCGAGACCAGCCUGGCCAAUAGGGUGAAACCCCGUCUCUACUAAAAAUACAAAAAUUAGCCAGGCGUGAUGGCGUGUGCCUGUAAUCCCAGGAUUACUCGGGAGGCUGAGGUGGUAGAAUCGCUUGAAUUCAUGAGGCUGAGGUUGCAGUGAGCCAAGAUCAUGCCACUGCACUCUGGUCUGGGCGACAGAGUGAGACUCCAUCUCCAAAAAAAAAAAAAAAAAAAAAGUCAAACUUCUCCACAGGUCCUUAAAGGCCUUGUGUCAAGUGGCUUUUGCUUACUCCUCCAACCAUAUCUUGAUACUAUCCCCCCCUCAUCACUAUAGUUGCAGCCUCUCUCACUCACCAUCUUUCAGUAUCUUGAAAGCAUGAAGCUGUUUCCACAUCAGAGUUCAUGCACUUGCCUAAAAAAUGUUUGCAUGGGCUGGGUGCAGUGGCUCACGCCUGUAAUCCCAGCACUUUGGGAGGCCGAGGUGGGUGGAUCACAAGGUCAGGAGAUUGAGACCGUCCUGGCUAACACUGUGAAACCCCGUCUCUCCUAAAAAAAAUACAAAAAAUUAGCCGGGCAUGGUAGCGGGCGCCUGUAGUCCCAGCUACUCAGGAGGCUGAGGCAAGAGAAUGGCCUGAACCCGGGAGGCGGAGCUUGCAGUGAGCCGAGAUCGUGCCACUGCACUCCAGCCUGGAAGACAGAGCGAGACUCUGUCUCAAAAUAAAUAAAUAAAUAAAUAAUUUUUUUUUUUGCAUGUAUCUGUAUCUAGAUUCUACCUACUGUACCUGAGUUGUUUUUUUUGUUUGUUUUUUGUUUUUCUUUUUUCAGAAUCAAACCUCUUUACUUCUCACUUACCAAUAUUCCCUGUCAGGCCCAAAAUGAAUUGUAAUAUAACAUCUAUCAUCAACUUGUAGGAUCACUGACAACCUCUUAACAAUUUCGAAGUAUAACAGGUGUUUUUCAAUCUUCAAUUUAUACAGGAUCACUUUAUAGCAUUUAACAUCGUUGUCCUUUCCUUCCUUCUUGAAAUUAACCUUCAAUCUUGGUUUCUCUGAUGGUUUCUUCAAACUCUUUUUUAACCUAUUUAUUUAUUUUUAUAGAUUGGUCUUUUGUUUUCCUCUUUUUAUCGCACCUAAACCUAAUGCUUUAACUACCCUUUAUACUACAAUGUUACCUAGAUCUAAAAAUCUAAAUCUCUAAGAUUUCAGGUCUCUCCCCUUAAACUCUAGACUCUGAAAUAUCUCCACCUGCAUUUCACUCUUUCCCCAUCCCCCUCUUCAUUCCUCUCAUUCAAUCAAGGUCUACUUCCUAUGGACCUCUCUCCAAACCUCUUAGCCACAUUUUUAGCUCAACGACUUUUCAAUGAAUGUUAUAAAAUCACUCACUAAUAUCUAUUUCAUACCCCCCUAAUCCAUGCUCUACACUGCCACCAGGUGAUGUCACUUUCCUGUUUAAAAUGUUCCAAUGGGCCUUUCAAGCCCUCUUAAAUAAGUCUAAAUUCUCUGGCAUGCUAUACAUGAUUCCCCCUACCCUCCUUGGUCUCUAGCCUUAUUUCUGAGCACUGUCCGAUUCAUUUAUUUAAUUUAACAGGCUGUUCCUCGCUAAGAGAGGUUCUUUUCUGCUUCUGUGCCUUAUCACAUAUAGUUCCUUUUUUGUUGAUAAAAUCUCCCCAACUCAUCACUCCCCCUUCAAAUAAAUGAAACUUUUACUAGUUUUUAAACCUCUGUUUAAGCUGUACUUCCUUCCGUAGGGGGCAAAAACAGUCUCCCCUGACCCGUGCCCAUGCUGAUUAAUUUAGAUAAUCUCUUUAGUGAGACUUAUUUUGGUUUUUGGGUGCAUGUGUAUGAACUAGGUUAUGAAGCAAAAUGUAUUUUUUAUAGAAUCUAAUGAAAAAUGGAAAGCCAUUACCCUAGGGGUUUGUAUCAGAACGCCCUUUAUAUAUGUAAAGUCCUGCUUCUGGCUAUUAUCUCAUUACCCCCACCUUCCACCCCACCCCCACCCUUUUAGUUUUUUUAUUUUUUUCAGGCUAGUCAAAUGAAGCAGUGGAACUGGAGAAGGAACAAAGAAGUCUGUAGCAGGUUGUUAUCAAUUAGUUGUAAAGGGACUGUGAUCAGCCCCUAACUAUUUGAUUAAUAAAAGUGACAAUGAGGUCUGUUAAAAAGCUCGGAAGAAAAUGUAACUUGUAGUGUUUCAGAUGUAGGCUUGCCAACACAAGUUACUAAAUGACAUUUUCUUUGCUAAUAACUGAUAUGCAGAGAAUAAUCAUUACUUUUAGGGGUUGGGUCCACAGAGCUAGAGUGAAAAAUUAUCAGCACACUAAGCAGGACAGUAAUCAGAAACAAAAUAUCUAGGUCACAAUCUGCA